rnacentral:rRNA from 1 species
GUAGGAUGCAAGCGUUAUCCGGAAUUAUUGGGCGUAAAGAGUUCGUAGGCGGUUACUUAAGUUGGAUGUUAAAGCUUUGAGCUCAACUCAAACACGGUAUCCAAAACUGAUUAACUAGAGACAGGUAGAGGCAAGUAGAAUUCUGCAUGUAGGGGUAAUAUCCGUAGAUAUGCAGAGGAAUACCAAAAGCGAAGGCAGCUUGCUGGACCUGUUCUGACGCUCAAGAACGAAAGCGUGGGUAGCGAACGGGGGAUUAGAUACCCCGGUAGUCCACGCCCUAAACGAUGAACACUAGGUGUUGGAGGUCUCGACCCCCUUCAGUGCCCGUCGCUAACGCAUUAAGUGUUCCGCCUGGGGUAGUACGAACGCAAGUUUA